CCUACGGGUGGCUGCAGUGGGGAAUAUUGGACAAUGGGCGAAAGCCUGAUCCAGCCAUGCCGCGUGUGUGAAGAAGGCCUUCGGGUUGUAAAGCACUUUCAGUGGGGAAGAAAGCCUUGGGGCUAAUACCCUCGAGGAAGGACAUCACCCACAGAAGAAGCACCGGCUAACUCCGUGCCAGCAGCCGCGGUAAUACGGAGGGUGCGAGCGUUAAUCGGAAUUACUGGGCGUAAAGCGCGCGUAGGCGGUCUGAUAAGCCGGUUGGGAAAGCCCCGGGCUCAACCUGGGAACGGCAUCCGGAACUGUCAGGCUAGAGUGCAGGAGAGGAAGGUAGAAUUCCCGGUGUAGCGGUGAAAUGCGUAGAGAUCGGGAGGAAUACCAGUGGCGAAGGCGGCCUUCUGGACUGACACUGACGCUGAGGUGCGAAAGCGUGGGUAGCAAACAGGAUUAGAUACCUUGUAGUC
rnacentral:rRNA from 1 species